ACAAAGAAGGCAAAGGCUAAUUAGUGAGAAGCUACACGCCUUGCAGAGUUUAGUUCCACACUCUCAUAAGAGAGACCAUGCAACCAUCCUUGAUGAUGCAGCUCAGUACAUCAAAUCAUUAAAGCUCUAUAUGGACAAGAUGGUGUUGCAAAGGAAUGGAGAAAGCCUAUAUCAGCAGGCUCCUUAUGCAGCUCAGCAAACAUCCGUGUCCAUGAUGUCUUGGCCUCAUAAAAUGCAUGCAGCAGAAUGCAAAUGGAUGCAAUAAACAUCAAUCAAAUGUUGAACUGUUGAAGUCUACAAUAAUGUACGAGAAUUCGUUUAAUAUACUUCAUCCAUCCCUAUUUACUUGUCCUAUAUAUCUAUAAUCAUGUUUGCAUUGAAUUUUUAAGUGAAAAUAUAAACGAGUGGGCAAAUGAUCGAGACAGAUAAUAAGUCGAGACACCAAAAGAAUGGAGACAAGUAAAAGAUGGAGAGAGUACUAUAACUUAGUCAAAUUUCUCUUUCUGUCUUUGUUAUUUUAAAUAGUAUCAUUCUACUUUUACGUUUUAUAAUCUGUAAUAAAUUUUAAUUAUAACAUCUUUGAUUAGUUAUCUUUCCAUUAUUUUAAAAAAUUGGACAGUUUAUAAGACUCAAGACCACUUGGACAAUAAUUAAUUAACUUAGCAAAUGAACCUUCUAGAUUAUCAGAAUUUGUACUUUCAGUUAAUUACUUGAGAGGGAGGUAGCUAGCUAAGGUGGUUAGAGCUUUUCUGAUCUCCAUAUUCCUGGAAUUCCUGAGAUUGAUUCUCAUCAUCCGUCCUUAUGACUCUCUAUACACCAAAAAAAAAUAAAAAUACUUAUUUAGUUCGUAGUUUUCAUUUUUUUUGGCAUUCGAACUCAAACCUUUAACCGUAUUCAAUAAAUAUAAAAGACCAAAAGAAAACCUUAUUUUAUAAUAAAUCAUAAAGUCGUAAAUCAGCCGAACAAAUCAAUCAAUUUUUUUUAAAAAUCACAAUA